ensembl:lncRNA novel transcript
CAGGCGGAUCACAAGGUCAGGAGAUCAAAACCAUCCUGGCUAACACGGUGAAACCCCGUCUCUACUAAAAAUACAAAAAAUUAGUUGGGUAUGGUGGCAUGCACCUGUAGUCCCAGCUACUCAGGAGGAAACUCCAGAAGCAGACAGGGCCCUAGAUAUAACGGCAUCUAAGUCCUGUAUAAGAGUCUGCACCUAGAUUG